rnacentral:rRNA from 1 species
UGGCUUAAUUUGACUCAACGCGGGAAAUCUUACCGGGUCCGGACACACUGAGGAUUGACAGACAAAUAUAGAAAUUUAUUUCUUUUUUUAUAAUGAUGCUAGUUCUUUCAUGAUUAGAUAAUAGGUGGAGGGUGGCCCUUCUUACUUGGAGGGGUGAUCCGGCUGCUUUGCUGCUUUUCUUUUUUUAUUAAGUAUACGGACGACCCACGCCUCCUGCGGCGAGUCUAUGCUGCUAUCUUUUAAAAGCAAACAACGCGACCGCCUCCUUUUAUUUUAUACCCCCGCUUUUAUUUAUUCAUUAGAGGGACCGCUGCUUUUUUUUUUACACAAGAAGAAGGCUGCGGUAACAACACGUCGGUGAAGC